CUGGGCCCGGCCUCCCUGGCUCCUGGGGCGGGGCCAUCUUGUUAGCAGAGACUCGCGGCCCGGCCCGGGCUGGGGAGGGGCCUGGGGGCGUUUUUCUCCCGUGUCGUGGUUGGCUCUUUUGUCUUCCAGGAUGGACCUGUAGGGUCUGCGUGGGGUAGGAGCUGGGAGCUGCACGCUGCCAGGCCCAGGUACCCAGGUCUGGCCCAAACACUCCUGCCGUUGUGCGUGGUCUCGUGGAGGUGGUGGGACUGAAUCAAGAGCACUGCGGGUGGGUCCCCGUCAGAGAUUUCAGCACAUGCCUUUAUCCAGCGCAAACACGGACCAAGCGCCUUCUCCCGGCUAGAGGCUGAGGAUCCGGAGGUCAGCAUGAGAUGCGGUCCCGCCCUCUCAGGGCUUCAUGACUCCCGGGUGACCCUGGACUCUGGCCACGGUGACACAGGGAGCAGCCUUUGGUGGUUUUCUGGAACCCUGGACAAUUCCCCGGAGACCUCAUCCUUCCCAGCUCCUGGGCUGGAGACCCCGGGGAUAAGGCCCCCUCCUUGUUGGUGCUCCGCCGAGGACAGGACCUGACUCUGGAGGACAGCGCGAGGGCUGUGAGGGAGGCUGGCAGCUCACCGUCCCCCCGCUUCUGUCUGGACCUGCCUGCUGGGCCCUACGGUCCAGGCCUGGAGGCCUUUCCUGACCCCGUGAGGACUUGAUUUCUCCUUGAAUCCCUGCCAGCGACCAGGCAGAGCUGGACCUGAGCCAAGGCCCCGCUGACCACACCCUCGCCAUGGCUGGGUCUCCAAGGACCCUACAGGACGGGGGAGUCGGGGAGUAGCUCCCAGUGGGAUGGAGGGUGGAUGCAGCUCCCGGGGCGCCACUGGCUGGAGUCUGUCUUGCGCCGUUUGCUGUGUGAGUGAUUCUCAUUUUUUGUGGGAGCUUCUUGGACGGGGCUUUUCCUUGCUUCUCUCCCUGAUGGUGACCAGGAGGGGGCAGGUGGGCCUGGGGGCAGCUUGGGCCUUUCCCUAGUGUUACGGAGCUCUGGGAGGGGCUAUCCUGAAAGGAGAGAGUUUCCAAGAGACCCCGCUGGAGGUGGGGGAGGGGUGUGCGUCGUCGUGGCACUCAGCAGAAAGAGACAGACACCGGGCCUUGCUCCCGACAUCCAAAGGGAACGGUCUGGAAUCAGCCUCACCCCAGCCCAGUCUCAGACCCUGCCCCUUGCCACACCCCUGUCCCUGGGGAGCAAAGGCAGGCGGGGCAGGCUCCCCACACAUGCAGCUGCCGCAUCACGCGGCGCAGACUCACUUGCACGCCCCCCUCCUCGUUCUCCACUCCCUCCAGCCCCCGCAGCGGGGCCAGUCCCAGUGCUGGCACAAGAGCUGCCUCGGCUUUCCUUAGGCAAGUUUAAGAGCCCCACUGUCCUUUUCCCAGGGUGGGGAGGGGACCUGUUUUAGUCAGCUUGCUUGGGCUGCCAUAACAGAGUACCACACUGGGAUGGCUGAAACCACAGAAAUGCAUUUUCUUAUAGUUCUGGAGGCUGGAAGUCGGAGAUCAAGGUGGCAGGGAUGGUUUGUGGUGAGGCCUGUCUCCUUGGCUUGCAGAUAGGAACUUAUUGCUGUGUUCUCACAUGGCCUUUUCUCUGUGCAUACAGAGAGAGAGAGAGAGACAGAAGUAGUUAUCUGGUGUCUCUUCCACUUCUUAUAAGGGCACCAGUCCUAUGGGAUUAGGGCCUCAUCCUAAUGACCUCAUUUAACCUUAAUUACCUACAUAAAAGCCCUAUCUCCAAAUAUAGUCACAUUGGGGGUCACAGCUUCAACGUAUGAAUUUGGGGGGAGACACAAUUCAGUCCACAGCAGGUGGUCACCACAAACAUGGACAGCUGGAGCCAACUCCCCUUUAGAAUUCCCACCCCCAGUAGGGAGGAAGAGGAGGAAUAGAGGCCUGGGAAGUAGAAACAUUGGGAGAUUCUGUGCGAGGGUGGCCCUGGAGGCCUCGGGGAGACACCGGACCCAGUGCAGCGAGGAGGCGCCCCCAGCAGAGGGCUGUUACGGGAAGAGCUUGGGCUUUGGAGUCUGAGGGUGUGCAGUCUGCCGUACAACCUUGGGCAACUCACCUCACCCCUGUGAGUCCAAUUUCCACCCUGAAACUGGAGCCAUCUGCUCACCUGGGCGUGUGUGUGGGGGGCACAGGGAGAAGUCAGUGAGAUCAUGCACCUGGCACAGCGCCUGACUCUUAGUAGGUGCUCAAUAAACACUCCUAUCCAUCUUGGAGUUUAGAUUUAGGGCUUCUCUCUUUUUGGUACUCUGGACUUUAAACUCCUCAUCUUUGAUCCAGAGGCAUUUCUGACUCUUGUAUUUUUAAUAUCCCUCUCUAAUCAGAUCGAGGAAUUGGCUGCAUUGCAUGGCCUCCAUAGUAGCUCCAAAUGCUUCCUGGGGAAUUUAAUAUCCACCCCUCUCAUCAGAAUUGAGCACCUACUGUGAGCCCUUCCCUGUACUACUCGCUUGGGGGGAAUAUAAGUGAAGAUAUGGCCCUGAUGCAAGCCUGCAGGAUUUCACAGCCAUGCCAAGUGGGAGAAAACCAUCUCACACAGAGAAUUAGGGGAUGGGGCAGAAAACAGUUUACUGAGGCACAGGUUCUCGGUGCUUGAGUGGGUGGGAGUAAGACCCCAGAGUAGGCUGAAAAGGCUUCCCAGCGAGGCUGAACUAAUCAGGACCUUGGAGGAUGAGAAAGGUGUGGUUUAGCUGAGAGUUUCCAAGGGAAAAUUAGAGCAGACAUGCCCAAAGUAAGUUCUAGGAGACGUCAUUGCUCUUAAAAAAAAAAAAAGUUCAAAUUCAGUAGGUUUCUGUAGUGCAGGGCUCAUCAGAGCCUCUGAAAGUGCUGAUGGGAAUUGUGAAUACUCAAGGAUAGACAGAAGAUUAAGUGUUUCCCCCCAGACUUUACUGGCAACAGAACCCCUUUCCUACAGAGCAUCAGUUAGAACCGUGGAGAGUCUACAAGGGGGUUUAUGUGGGAAAAUCACAACUGUGAAAAGAGAUGAUGAAACGAGGGCACACUCAGGUGCUCUGUAGCAGCGGCUGGAAAGGCAGCCCUUUCCCUGGGGCUGGGAAGUUUGAACUUGGUUCCAGGAGCCAGGUGAGCUCUAUGCAGUUUUAGUAUUUGGGGGAGGGCAGGCCAUUGGUUGGAGUAGCCAGAGGCCUGGCAGUAGGGGACGGAGAAGCUGUCCACUGGACCCGGCGGCUCUAGGGCAACAGACCUUCUGUGGGAAAAUGCUGGUGUGCGCGCGCGUGCGUGUGUGUGUGCGUGUGCCUGAGUGUGACAGGACCCAGCCUUCUGGGAAGGGGAUGGCCAGAACCGGGCAGGGGGUUUCCAGCCAGAGCAGCAGGGCCCAUUUUCAGGGGAACUGAAGUGUGUGGGAGGGCCCCUGAGGCCCAGAGCUGAGAAGUAGGGAAGCCAAAUUCUUCUGGGCAGGGUCUACGUGGCUAGCCUUGAUUCUGGUGGGGCUGAGGAGCUGGGAGGCAGACCCCCUGCCCUGGUCAGACCCGGCUCCCUGGCUGGUGGGGGCGGGAGGCCUCUGGAGCUGCAGCUGGAGGGGCUGGGGCAGUGUUGCAUGGUGUGAUUAACCUACUAACACAGGGCUCGGCCGGGGGACGCUGUGACGUGUGACGAGGUGCCUGGCCUUCUGCCAACCGACUAACCCACUAACCAGGCCCGAGCAUGCCCUACUAACCCCCUGCAGCCAGACCCUACUAACCUUGCAGCUCGUGGGCCUUUCCCGGGGCAAGGAUGUGGGGCAGACGAGGCUCCGGAAGCCCCUGCCCAGGGCCUGGGAUCUCUGUGCAGACCCACAUUCCAGGACAGGGCGCGCAAACAGGACUCGCCAACUCUGCUGCUUCCUGCUGGGUGACUCUGAGCAAGUCCCCUCACCUCUCUGAACCCGUUUCCUCGGCAGUAGAGUGGGAGGCCCGUUCCUCACCUCACCGGUGGCAGUGAGGAGUCCCAGGAAUGUGAAGCUCUUGACACAUGGCAGGUGCUUAAAACAUAUAUAUGAGGGCAGGGGUGGGAGACCCAGAAAACCUGACCCAUCAUGUACCCUGGCAGACCCUGAUCGCUCUGGGUGGUCUGCACACAGACCCCUCUGCCUGGGGCUGGACACUUGCUUUGAACCCCUAACCGUCUCUUCCCCACACUCUCCCUCCUCUUCAGCUUUCUUUCCGUAGACAGCUCUUUUUUUCAAUUACUAACCCGUCUAACCCCGGGGGGCCUCAACUGCACCCCGACCACCCCUUAACAAACUAAUGGACCUGCGUGUGUUCUUCCUUUUCUCCUAGCGACUCCCAGUGUGUGUCUGCUGAGGUGCCCCUGUCCGCUGGUGCUGUGCUCUGACUUACUAACCCAGCCCCUACUAACUCUGUUUUCUCUUCUUACUAACCCCAGCCCUGCCGAGCUCUGGGCCCCCCCUCGGGGCUGGUCCCCCUCCUUUUGGCAAGCAGAUGUCCUGGGGCUGGCCUUGCAGACAGAUGCCCCACUUUGCUGCCCCGAUCGGCUGAGUUCAGAGUCCACUGGGCCGGUUCUACUAACCACACCAGUGGCCCAGAGGAAGAGGUGGUCCUGCGGGUGUGGGAGGGAGGCCGACCUCUGAGCACAGCAUCCCUCCUCUGUGCACAAGGUUGGUUGCCACUGGGAGUGGACGGGAGCAGGGCAACUUCUGGGGUGUGAGUGUGGAGGCCUGUGGGUCUAGAAUGCAGAGCUCUGGGCUCCUCCCAGCCAAGGGAGCAGAGAGAAGGCGCCUGUGUGUCCUUCUCUGGAGGGAAGCGAGGGUAGAAUCUUCUACAUUGGCGAGUGGCCGGUAGAGGCGCGGUGCAAUUAAUGAAAGGCGCGUCCUGCACAGGAAGUCAGCAAAGGGGCGUGUCUCGCACAGGAAGUUAGUAAAGGGGCGUGUCCCACACCGGAAGUCAGUAAGUGAAGACUUCCCCACAUUGGAAGUCGCUGAAAGGGUCUUAAACCGCAGUGGAAAUCAAUGAGUGGAACAUUUAGUACAGGAAAGUCAGCCAGAGGGGGCAUUUCCCACAUUUGAAGGAUGGGAAGAGGGGUAUCUUUUACACCAGAAGUCAGGGAGAGGGGACUUUUGGCCUUAUCACAAGGUGCUGAGAAGGAAUGGCCAAGAGAUCAGUGAGAGGGGCCUUUCCUAGAACGAGAACUUGGCUAGAGGGGCCCUUCUCAUCCCUGGAGCUGGGAGACCCGGGUUUCCCACACUGGAAGUAGAUGUGGGCCUUUUUUCCUACUGAAGUCAUUGAGAAGGGCAGUCCACAGGGGGAAGUUUGAGAAACCAGGCAAGAAAGCAGAUCUUGGGUUCGGGGUUUGCAGGAGAAAGCGGGAAGCCACAAAUGAACCCCAGGCACCCACAGAGCCCUGCAGACCGUCGGGCCAGCCAGAAGUUCAUCCCUGGCUCCGCGUCCUGUUCACACCCAUGUCCCUACACCAGCCUGCCUCCCCAGAGCCCGCCAGCUGCUAAGCCAGGGCCACACCUGGGGGUGAUUUUAUGCCUCACCUCCAGUGGGCACCUUGGUCUCUUUGGGCUAAUCUCUGGCUCCUUUGCACUAACUCUUGCUCUCACCCAGCUAAUCCCUGUCUCGCCCUGGCUGCCCCAGAGGGCUGACCACUAACAGCCAACCCUACCCAUCUGGGGGCUCCAGCCUCCUGGCCUGGCUCUGACCUGCUCUGAAUUAACCCCUCCUUCACCUGACUAACUCCUACCCUCCUGAUCUGUUCCUUUCAGCGGAAACUAACGGCUUGUGGAUUUCUUUCUGACUAACAACAGGUCUAACCCUCCCCAGUCACUAUUACUAUUAACAGCUUGGAUGUCGGCAUGGCUGGGACUGGGCUAACACAGGUUUGGGACUUGACUAACACAGGGAGAGGCGGAGCUAGUCGUGUUGGACGUGGUCACUGCUCUGGGGAAGAGCUAUCUGAAGUCAGGAAAGUUCUCAGUGCUCUAAAGGAGGGGCUGGGCUGUGGCUCAGGCCUGAUGGAGGAGUGGUGUCUGCUGAGGUGGCGUCAGAAACAAAGUCAGCCUCCCAAGAUUUUGGCCACUGGACAUAUGCUAUCAACCCCUUAUAACCUGCAUUUGGGCUCUGAUUCUUUUAAACAAUAGCCUGAUAGUUGCAAUAGUGGAUGCAGCGUUUGUGGCCCUAAAAAUGCCCGUCUGGUGUAUACAGAGGAUAUGCCAUUGUGUAUGGAAUUAUCAGUCAUCAGGUGAGGGCCUAGACUCCUUGAUUUGGGGACUUUAGAGCUUUGGAAGCUCUAGGACAUAAAACUUUAGAUUGGAAUAGUCAGACCGGUUGUAAAUCUAUCACCCAUUUACACCCUGGUGUAAAUUAGCUCAGCUUUCUCCUCUAACUGCUGUGCAAUUUAGCUGCCCUGAGAUGAUGAGAGUUUGGCUGGGAGGGAGUUUGGAUCUCUUCAGUGCUGGGGGAGGGUCCUCUGGGCGCAGAGAGGAGAAGCAACGAGUCCAGGGGUUCUUGGGUGGGAGUAAGAGGGGGCACCAGGUAGGGGGGGGAUGGGAAGAGGGGGCAGUUUUGCUGGCUCAGUCUGGUAGUCAGGGUCUGUGGGAGACGACAGCUCAAGGCAGGGCCUGGAGGACUGGAUCAGCUCAGGGGCAGGGUCAGAAGCCUGCCUGGAGGCCUUGCAGGCAAGUUGCUUGGGUCACUGAAUACUGCUCUGGGGCUGAAAGCUUCUCUGAUAGGCAGGGACUCAGAGCUAAUUUAGCGGAGCUGGUGGUGAGGCCUGAAGGGCGAUCCAGAGGCCUGAGCUGCAAAGGGAAGGAGAGGAGAAUGCAUCGGAAGGAGCCUGCAGAACCGGGGCUGGGGUGGAGCCUGCACUGGGGAAAGCGCGUGCCUGCUGCCCUCUAGUGGCUGCCUUGCCCCAUUUCACUCGAAGCAUUUCCCAUUCCGGGGGCCUUUUUAUUCAACCACAAACACUUGAUGCUGCCGAGGACCUACUAUGUGCCCAGCACUGCUCUGGGUCUGGGACCCACGCACGGGCUUUUCCAAAGUGCUCGUCUAGCUCAAUGGGGGAGAUGGAGAAAAUAAACAGGUAAUGCAGUAAGAUGGGUGCCAUGAUAGGGAUGGUGGGGCUGUGAAAGCACCCAGGAGACAGACAAGGAUGAGAUGCACCUACUGUGUGCCAGGCACGGUGCUAGGCGUUGGGGAUGACUGCUGAUUAAACAUCACACAAUCGUCAGGAACUUUAAUGCUAGCGUAUUUAGUGGGGGCGGGGUAGCGUGAGGUGUGGGCAGUCAGGGUAAAUUUUCUAAGAGGAAGACAUCUAAGCCGAGCCCUGGCUGGGCAGACUGUAGUGGGGAUGAGUUCCAGGAAGCGGGAAUGGUGGACACAAAGUUCUGGGGAUCAGAGAGGAUCGAAGAAAUUCUGGAAAGGUCGUGGAGAGCGCAGCAGGAGGCAGGUGGGAAAUGGACAAAUACCAGAUGGUGCUGCCAGAGAGUUUAUCCCCGGGGCAGUGGCAGUGCGCUGUGCAUGUGAGCUGAGGAGGUGAGAGGUUAGAUUUGGGUUCUAGGCUGACCGUGUGACCGUUUCAGCCCAGGUGGAAUUCUGGGGAGCUUCUAAUACGUUCUGGCCAAAUUUCAGAAAACUGGUUCGAAGUGCUUGAAAGGAGGAGGACCCUCAAAUCCACCUUAAGAUAAAUAAGGUGGGCCAUGCUCCUGCCUGGCGGGGGCCUGGUGGAGGGAGCACUGACGGCUUGGAAGGAGAACAGCCUUAAAGGCACGUCAUCCCCAGCCCCUGGUGUCACGCCACUCCAUGCCACUCUUCAUCCGAGGGCAUGUGGUCACUGGCUGGGAGAAUCUCACUGGAGAGGGACCCUGUUAGUCCUGUCAGGCUGCAAAGCGGGGGCAGGCAAAGCGGGGGCAGGCAGGCGUGGAGGAAGCUUCCGAGAGGCUGGUCCCGGGGAGGGAAAAACGUGUCUUGGUGGGUAACGAACCUUCUGGAGGCAGAAGGAUUGGAACCAGGCCACCUUUGAGACUGACGAUGGUGGUGGGAUUCUAGGAUCCUGUGUGAGUGCGUGUGUCCUCGACUUCAUACUAGAGGAAGCUGAGCCCAAGAAGGCAACUCUGUCCUCCAGCCCCUGACCCGGCCGUGCUGAUGCUCACCCUGGCCUUGACUCCACUGAACAGCCAGCUCGUUAGGAGCAGGACCUCGGGAGCUGCGGAGCUGGGGAGCUGGCCUCCCAGCUGGAAGGGGAGGCUGAAUCCUUUAAUAGGCAGCGUGGAGGGACUGGUGACUGUGGUCCCUGCCGGGGGGCUGUGCUUGCGUAGCUAUUCAUAGUGUACAUAUUGAGCUGGAGGGAUAUGCUGCAGGGGAUGGGGCUGGUCCCAUCCCUACAGAAGACCCCAAAGGCCCUCUUGAGAAUCUACCCGGGGACCCACUGUUUUACUUGAAUAGACCAGAGACGACAUUUUCCACGUCAUUGCCUCCGGGGACGCUGAAGGUGGGGACAGAAAUUCUGCUGUUGAUUAAAAACAAUAUUUUUACGUGGAUCCAGCAACGGAGUUUGAACUUGGCAUUUUGUUUUCACCCACGAAUGUAGUUUCUUUUGUUGAAAAUACCAUUUUGAUAUUAAAACUAACUCACACCCAAAGGAUGACUGUGGCUUAAGAGGCUUGGAGGCAGGGUGGGUGGGGAGGGGAGAGCCAGUGGCAUUUUCAAGGAAUAGGAGUGGGCUCUGCCAGCCUUUUCUCAAGACCAUGACCUUAAAAGUCAACACAAUAGGGUACAGAUUUCAUUUGUAGUUUGUGGGAAAACACACAAAAGUUACCAUCUUAAAUAAAUUUAUUUUAAAAAUGGUUA